rnacentral:rRNA from 1 species
AGCUCCAAUAGCGUAUAUUAAAGUUGUUGCAGUUAAAAAGCUCGUAGUUGGAUUUCGGAGUGGGCCAGUUGGUCCGCCGCAAGGUGUGUUACUGACCGGUUUGCUCUUCUUCGCAAAGACUGCGUGUGCUCUUUGUUGAGUGUGCGUAGGAUUUACGACGUUUACUUUGAAAAAAUUAGAGUGUUCAAAGCAGGCUAUUGCUUGAAUACAUGAGCAUGGAAUAAUGGAAUAGGACUUUGGUCCCCUUUUGGUGGUUUCUAGGACCGAAGUAAUGAUUUAGGGGGAAAGUUGGGGGGAUUCGUAUUUCGUUGUCAGAGGUGAAAUUCUUGGAUUUACGAAAGACGAACAACUGCGAAAGCAUUUGCCAAGAAUGUUUUCA